rnacentral:lncRNA from 1 species
CCCUGCCCCUAUGUGAGAUACAGCAAGAAGGCGAGUAUCUGCAUACCAGAAAGGGGGCCCUCACAGGCACUGAAUCUGCCAGCACCUUGAUCUUGGACUUCCCAGCUCCCAAAUGAGCCAAAAAGCUUUCUCAGCAUUCAGGGAUCCAAGGGUUGAAGCAACAGUACCAGGAGGAAGCUGGGUUUUAGAAGAGACCUGAUGAGCACCUGACUCCUUUCUGACAAAUGUGCUGCAAGCCUCAUUUAGCAGAAAAUGACACAACACAAAUCCAAACAUCUUUCCACAAAAACGAUGUUGGGAGGAAGGCAUGGAUUACUUUUAUUGAUUGACUGGGACAGGGUCUCGCUCUGUCGUCCAGGAUGGAGUACAGUGGUGCCACCACGGCUCACUGCAGCCUCAACCUCCUGGGCUCAAGUAAUCCUCUCAUCUCAGCCUCCCAGGUACCUGGGACUACAGGUGUGUGCCACCAUAUCCGGUUAAGUUUUUUUUUAAGUUUUUAUAGAGACAAGUUCACGCUAUGUUGCCCAGGCUGGUUUGAAACUCCGAGGCUCAAGUGAUCUUUUUGCCUUGGCCUCCCAAAGUGCUGGAAUUAAAGGCAUGAGCCACUGCACCCCGCUGGAUUAGUGUUUUUUUAAAAGACAAUGUAAUGAACUGGAAUAUUCCAAUCCCUAGAAUAAUGUAUAAAAAAUAAAUCAAUGAUUUAAGAUGCUGUAGAAAUGCAUUUUUUCCCACCCAUGAAAUCGUCCAAGGGCAGUGAACGUCAGCUCAUGUACCUGCAUGUUGGCAAACAAGUGGAAUUUCCUAAAACUCCAGAACUAUGCCCCACCCCACUCCUAGGUAUGUCUAUUCGCAUCAUACACAGCCACCGUGAUAUGCAUUUGCGGGGAAAGCCAGGAUGGCCAUGACGAUCACAGAAAGUUAGUCUCAUCUUGCCCUCUCUCCGCUCUGCCCAGGCUGGUUUGGUCUCUCCCAUCCUUAGCCUCAAGGUCACAGUAAGCGUACCAUGUUCAAGACAAGAGCCCACUGUGUGGGACAGUAUCUUCGCUGCACAGCCCUGAGGAGGCCUCCGAACAUGCCCCAUCACACCAGAUGCACUCAAAAACAUACGGUGUCAUUUACCCCCAUGUGCCUAGAGCCCUAGACUCUGCACUUUGCUGUGUGCCAACCCAGGCUAGCCAGCACGGCCUUCAGACCCAGCCCCAGCUCUCACGCAGCCGCACCUCCCUCCUGUCCGAGCAAAGUUCGUCUUGCCUUGACUGGACGUCCAAAGUUUCCACAAGAGCCUUCAGAUAUCCAGUGAGCUCCAAACUGGCCACACAGCCACCAGAGAGAUCCUGUUUUGAAGUGCUGGAUUAUGAUAUUUAUUUACACUGACCACAGAAUGUAUUUAUUUUUAACUUUCACUGUGGAAAUUUUCAAGCAUAUCCACAAGAAGAGAGACUAGAAUAAUGGACUUCCAUCUUCUCAUCCCCUGACUUCAAGAUCACCACUAACACAUGGACCACUGGCUUCCUUUCUACCUCGUCUCACCUCCCGCUCCAUUCCUACCCCCUGGAGUCUUUUGAAGCAAAUACUUGACAUCAUCUUAUGUUAACUGAACAUCAGAGUGAUUGAUUUCUUCCUAUAUAAAUCCAAUUGUUUCACUUCCCUGUUCAGAAUCCUUCAAACUUAGUAUAAAAGCCAAGCUCCAUUCUGUGGCAUCUUGGGUGGGACCUGGUCCCUUCUUGGGCCCGCCCUGGUCCCUUCUUGGGCCCCUCCCCUGCUUGUCUCCAGCCCCGGCCUUCUCGCUGCUCCCUAAACACAGAGGCAGGCCCACCGAGCCUCCGCACCUUCCCUGACGCCUUCUAGCAGCCUGGACCCUCCUCCACCAGCAUCCUCAAGGCCCCUCCCUCACUUCUGUCACACCUUUAAUCAACUGCCACCCUCCCUGAGAACCCUUCCCUGAAUCCCUAUCUGGACCAUAGCAAGGACUCGACAAAUAUUUAAUGACUGAAUGCAUGUAAUAAAAGUCAAUAACCCUGUGAAACCAGGGAGAGAAGACAGAGUUGUUCCUGUUAUUCAGAUGAGAAAACUGAGGCUCAGCAUGGUUAAGUGAAUUGCCCAAAGACACACAGCUCUUCUUUUUUUUUUUUGAGACGGAGUCUCUCUGUGUUGCCCAGGCUGGAGUGCACUGGCGCCAUCUCGGCUCACUGCAAGCUCCGCCUCCCGGGUUCACGCCAUUCUCCUGCCUCAGCCUCCCGAGUAGCUGGGACUACAGAUGCCUGCCACCACACCUGGCUACUUUUUUUGUAUUUUUUUAGUAGAGACGGGGUUUCGCCAUGUUAGCCAGGAUGGUCCCGAUCUCCUGACCUCGUGAUCCGCCCGCCUCGGCCUCCCAAAGUGCUGGGAUUACAGGCGUGAGCCACUGCGCCCAGUCGACACACAGCUCUUAAAUGGUGGAAAAGACUUUGAACACAGGUCUUGACUCCAAAUUCCAUGCAUUUUCCAUUCCUGUGUUGCUUCUCUGAAAUGAAACGUUGCUUCAGUUGAUAUAAUUAAGACACAGGUUUACAUCAAAUGUAUUCAUUCAUUCAACAAACAGUAUCUCACUGUUUGAACGCUCAGUAUGUGGCAGGCACUGUUCUGAGCAGCAGAGAAACUGGAGUGUGGUGGGCAGAAUAGUGUCCCCCAAAGAGGUCCAUGUCCUAAUCCCCAUCACCUGUGACUAUGUUAGGUUACAUGGGAGGUGGAAUAGGGCUCAUCAGCUGACCUUCAUAUGAGGACAUUAUCUUGCAUUCCUUGGGUGGGCCCAGUGUCCUCACAAGGCUCCUCAACAGUGAAAGAGAGAGGCAGGGGAGUGGGAGAGAGAUUUAAAAUGCUACUCUGCUGGCUCUGAAGACAAAGGAAGGGGCUACAAGCCAAGGAAUGCGAGUGGUCUCUGAAAAAG